GACGAACGCUGGCGGCGCGCCUAACACAUGCAAGUCGAACGAGCGAGAGAGAGCUUGCUUUCUCGAGCGAGUGGCGAACGGGUGAGUAACGCGUGAGGAACCUGCCUCAAAGAGGGGGACAACAGUUGGAAACGACUGCUAAUACCGCAUAAGCCCACGACCCGGCAUCGGGUAGAGGGAAAAGGAGCAAUCCGCUUUGAGAUGGCCUCGCGUCCGAUUAGCUAGUUGGUGAGGUAACGGCCCACCAAGGCGACGAUCGGUAGCCGGACUGAGAGGUUGAACGGCCACAUUGGGACUGAGACACGGCCCAGACUCCUACGGGAGGCAGCAGUGGGGAAUAUUGCACAAUGGGGGAAACCCUGAUGCAGCAACGCCGCGUGGAGGAAGAAGGUCUUCGGAUUGUAAACUCCUGUUGUUGGGGAAGAUAAUGACGGUACUCAACAAGGAAGUGACGGCUAACUACGUG
rnacentral:rRNA from 1 species